GACGAACGCUGGCGGCGUGCCUAAUACAUGCAAGUUGAGCGCUGAAGGUUGGUACUUGUACCAACUGGAUGAGCAGCGAACGGGUGAGUAACGCGUGGGGAAUCUGCCUUUGAGCGGGGGACAACAUUUGGAAACGAAUGCUAAUACCGCAUAAAAACUUUCAACACAAGUUUUAAGUUUGAAAGAUGCCAUUGCAUCACUCAAAGAUGAUCCCGCGUUGUAUUAGCUAGUUGGUGAGGUAAAGGCUCACCAAGGCGAUGAUACAUAGCCGACCUGAGAGGGUGAUCGGCCACAUUGGGACUGAGACACGGCCCAAACUCCUACGGGAGGCAGCAGUAGGGAAUCUUCGGCAAUGGACGAGAGUCUGACCGAGCAACGCCGCGUGAGUGAAGAAGGUUGUCGGAUCGGAAAACUCUGUUGGUAGAGAAGAACGUUGGUGAGAGUGGAAAGCUCAGCAAGUGACGGUAACUACCCAGAAAGGGACGGCUAACUACGUG
rnacentral:rRNA from 1 species